GCCGCGUUCGUCUAGUCUGGUCUAGGACGCCGCCCUUUCACGGCGGUAACACGGGUUCGAAUCCCGUACGCGGUA
rnacentral:tRNA from 1 species